rnacentral:rRNA from 1 species
AUUGAACGCUGGCGGCAGGCCUAACACAUGCAAGUCGAACGAGUGGCGGACGGGUGAGUAAUGUCUGGGAAACUGCCCGAUGGAGGGGGAUAACUACUGGAAACGGUAGCUAAUACCGCGGACCAUCGGAUGUGCCCAGAUGGGAUUAGCUUGUAGGGGAGGUAACGGCUCACCUAGGCGACGAUCCCUAGCUGGUCUGAGAGGAUGACCAGCAAUACUGGAACGUCGACACGGUUCAGACUCCGACCGGAGGCAGCAGUGGGGAAUAGUGCACAAUGGGCGCAAGCCUGAUGCAUCGAUGCCGCGUGUAUGAAGAAGGCCUUCGGGUUGUAAAGUACUUUCAGCGGGUAGGCGUUACCCGCAGAAGAAGCACCGGCUAACUCCGUGCCAGCCGCCGCGGUAAUUC